UGGUUUAAUUCGAUGCAACGCGAAGAACCUUACCUGGUCUUGACAUCCACGGAAGUUUUCAGAGAUGAGAAUGUGCCUUCGGGAACCGUGAGACAGGUGCUGCAUGGCUGUCGUCAGCUCGUGUUGUGAAAUGUUGGGUUAAGUCCCGCAACGAGCGCAACCCUUAUCCUUUGUUGCCAGCGGUCCGGCCGGGAACUCAAAGGAGACUGCCAGUGAUAAACUGGAGGAAGGUGGGGAUGACGUCAAGUCAUCAUGGCCCUUACGACCAGGGCUACACACGUGCUACAAUGGCGCAUACAAAGAGAAGCGACCUCGCGAGAGCAA
rnacentral:rRNA from 1 species